UUACCAGCUUGACAUAGAUGAAAGAUAGCAAUAAACAGGUGCUGCAUGGCUGUCGUCAGCUCGUGUCGUGAGAUGUUGGGUUAAGUCCCGCAACGAGCGCAACCCUACGCCUGUUGCCACAGAGACUCUGGCGGACUGCCUCGUUCAAGGGGAGGAAGGUGGGGAUGACGUCAAGUCAGUAUGGCCCUUACGCUGGGCUGCACACGUACUACAAUGCGAUACAAGGGGCACGGCAACGGGAGCAAUCCUAAAUCGGCCCAGUUCAGAUUGCUGUCUGCAACUCGACAGCAUGAAGCCGGAAUCGCUAGUAAUGGCGAUCAGCACGCGCCGUGAAUACGUUCCCAGGCCUUGUACACACCGCCCGUCACAUCAUGAAAGCCGUUGACCAAA
rnacentral:rRNA from 1 species